rnacentral:misc_RNA from 1 species
AUCAACCCCAUACAAACACCAGUGAAUUUGCUUCCAAAUACUACCAACAGAUCUAACAUUAUUCAGGUAUAGCAGCAACAAUGAAGAGACAGAAAUACAAUUUUCUUCCUGUAAUGAUUUGAUUCAAACAAUAAUCUUCUAUACAACAAAAUCUCAACAACAACAUACCCAAUGAAACAAUUUCUGUAUUGAGGUUCAAAAAAG